rnacentral:lncRNA from 1 species
GUGACAAAUGUCUGACAUAAUGCGUAAAUCCUCUGCCCCUACCCCACUUCAAAAGGUCUCUAGCACUUUUGUUAAAUUGAAUGGGGGAGAAUGACGGUUUCUGUGGGGGUUCAUUUCAAGUUCUGAAGCACACGCAUGGCGCAAGGUGAAUUUACUUACAAGGUAGUAACGUCUCUUCAUCAAUAUCUCUAUCUGCAUCCCUUUCCAGCGGCUGUCUCUUUGAGCGUGGUGAAUAAGUUGUCCUCCCCACAGCGGACAACUUCACCUUGUAAGUUA